UUGUAAAAUUAUGUUAUAAAAUUUUAGAAAAUUACCAAGGACUGCGUGAAUUGCCUUACUGUUUAUCUAUUAAGAAAAUUUGGUUUUAAUCUUGUUUUUUAUUUAGAUACAAAAAAAAACAGUAGAAAUCUCGUCUUUUUUAGCAAAAUCCAUGUUCUUCGUAAUAGGAAAUAAAAGACCUAAAUUUCCAAUUUUCAGACAAAAAUUCCCGAUUUUUUUCAACAUAAAAAUUCCGAAGUGGAACAAACGCUUAGGAAUAUGCAAACUAUUUAUUACUGCUAAAUUAAGCACGUACCAAUUGUUUUCAGAUUUAUCAAAGUUCUUGCACCCAUUUACGACUCGUGACAAAACAAUGUGACCAAGGGAAUGCGAUGACCUCAUUAAACGGGAUCGAAAUCCUUAUCGCUACCGAAUUACGGGAUAGAGCAUCACUCUCCGGCAUUAGGGGUGGACCAUUUAGCACCAUUUCGUACUCUUUUUUCGCCUCGCUGCUCAGCAUUUUCUUGACGAACACCUUGAUUGCCGUGCAGCUAAAAAGUGCUCAUUCACAAUGAUCUCGGAAUUCAUAAAUCUGUUUAUAAAUUCGAAUAAAAUAAUUGUUCAUAAUCGUAUAACGUGUUCUUAAAAUAUGGAAAUUCGUGUCAUCUCUUUUUAUAUACAAUUUAAAACUUGCUAGAAUGACAUCACGUCAUUAAUUAUAUUUAUUUUUCUGCUAUUUCCUUAAUAUGAUUAAGAUUUUGUUUUAAUUUAAAUCUAGGCAACUUUCCAAAAUCCUUCUUGACUUAGAAAUUGAGUCUAAAUUUACAAUUUUAGAGGACGAAUUUGGCCGAAAAAUUUUGUUUUGAAAAUUUUUUAACACGAAUCAUUUUAUGAUUAUCUAAGUUGCAUAUGAACACAAUGCUAAUUGCAGAAAGUGAUAAAUAGUGAAUUAAUUACAAAACGGAUAUUUUUUGUACUGUGCAUGUUAAUUUUAUCGAAGUAUCUUAAUAUUAGAAUUUUAAGAUUUCUUACAUAAAAUUACUUGGUAUCAUUUUUCUAAUCCAAUUUUUGACAAAGUUUUAUUUGUAUUAUCUUAAAAUAAUUUUACGGAAUUGUUAAUUCUACAAUUUUUUCGAAUCGGCAUCAAACUUUGGCUAAUAUUAUAUUAAUUUAUAAUUUCCUCAGGCAAAAUUGUUAACUUUUUGAGGUACAACAACUUUUGUAGUUUAGUGGCAGUUUAGUAAACUGAAGAGUUUCGCAUGA